rnacentral:lncRNA from 1 species
CUUCUUCACAUGCCUCCAAGAAACCCAACCCAUUCAAGAUAAAAAUUCAAAAUAAUGUAUGGAACCUUGUUAGCCCCGUCUUUCAUGGCUUCCUUAACAAGCACCUUUUCGUUAGCCUUCGCCUUAAAAAGGCCGACUCUAAAAGAGCCAACUUUGUCUCAGUACUUUUUAGUUGGUUGAGAAGCAAUGCCUUUUCACUCAUUGCCUUAUCCAGGCCCUUGGAAAUAGUAAACUUUUUGGCCUUAAUUGAUUGAAGCUCUUCUUUGAGACACAAAAGUUCAGCUUCAAAUCUUGGGAAUAAGCAGCAGGGCUCUCUUUGGCCAGUUCCAACUCUUAGUAACUCUUUUAACAUUGGCCACCAAAUAAGCCUCCAUUGCGGCAAAGACUUCAGAGCCUUUGCUAAUCUCUUUUUUCCUUUUCAUUUCUUUCUCAGCCUCUUCCAACCUUUUCUAAAGAGUUUUUACACCCCUUCUCCAAAGAAUCAUUUUUCUUCUCUAGUUUGUUAGUUUGCAAAACACAGACCUCAUACUUUCUUUGUCAAUCAUGAUGAAGAAUGAUAGCUCGCAAGAGAUGACCGUUAAUAAUAUUUCUUCUUUGCUUGAGAGCCAUAUCCUUCGUAAACUUAUCUCAAUUGGAGUUAAAAUACAGAAAAGAGUAUAUGUCGCUCUAGAGACAAUGGCAGGAAUCAUUGAUAAAGCCCUGGGGUCUAGCUCCUCGUUAAGGUGAGGAAAAAACUAUAGCCUUGGUGUUUACUAUGUUUAAGGUCUUUCUAGCAUUUCUCUUUUCCUCUUGGGAGGGUCAUUUACUAGGUUUGACAAUGAUUGACGUGUGCAAAGAUCCCUAAGUUAAAGCAAUGGGAAAACCUUCAGUCGUGCGAGAUGGUAGAGGUUGUUUAGUUUUACUUUCACUCUCAUGCGAAGUUUCGUCCUUAUUUUACCUAGAGCUCCCUAUGGGUGUAUCCUUAGAAGGUGGAGGUAAAGCCAAUUUUUGGCAUUUAGGAUCAGCGUUAAAGUUGAUCUUCAUCCAGGAAAAGUCAUCAAUUUGAGAUUACUUAGGACAAAAUAAUACCAUGAACUCACUUAAAUCCCCCUCAAAAAAAUUAAUAAGGCCUUAUUUCCAGUCGGAUUAGGAUGAUAGCAAAUAUCAACCAAGAUAUGAGUUACUCUUAAUAGUAGAGUGGUUAAUUGAAAAAGUUUCAAACAGGGAAUUACCAUCGAUUCAAUAAUAGAAGCUUUAUACAACACAACUUCGUAAACAACAAGAGUUAUGGUCUGGAUUAAGAAGCUCGUUAAUGAACUUGAAGUAGUUCCUAACGUUGUUGAUCAAAUACCUCUGUAUUAUGAUAACAAUGGAACCAUCGCGUAAGCGAAGGAACUAAAUCUCAUCAAUGAUCCAAACAUAUGUUAAGUGUAAAAUCCCGAAUUUUUUUAGCAUUAAUUUAUUUAAUAGGAUUGCAAUGUUCAGUUAAGUCCUUAUACAAGUUAAUUAGUUAUCUCUAUGGUUAAUUUGGAUCUAUGUGAAUAUCUUUAUAGUUGAGGGACCAAAGUGAAAAUAAGUUUCAGAUUUUAUACCUUUAUUAAAUAGGCCAAAUAGUUAAUUAUUGAAGGAGUUANUUAAUUAAAGAAUUUGAAAGUUUGAGGCUAGAGGUUGUUGCACCUUCUGUACAGAAAGCAAUUGUUGCAGCUCUAAUGGUUCAACCCACUCUUAGAGAACGGAUUAGAGAAGCCCAAAAGAAUGACCCAUUUUUGUGUAAAAUUAUGGCUGAAGUUGGGACAGAUAAGCGAAAGGGAUUUGCAAUAACUGAGGACAAGGUACUUAUGUAUAAAGGCAAAUUAUGUGUUCCUAAGGAUGAGGGAUUAAGGAAAGAAAUUCUUGAAGAAGCACAUUCUACUGCUUAUACAGCACAUCCUGGCAGUACAAAAAUGUAUCGAGAUCUUCGAAAUACAUUUUGGUGGAGAAACAUGAAAGGAGGGAUAGGACUUUUUGUAAGUAAAUGUAUGGUAUGUCAGCAAGUGAAAGCAGAACAUCAGAGACCUUCAGGGUUGCUUAGACCACUAGAUAUACCGGAGUGGAAAUGGGAACACAUUACCAUGGAUUUUGUGGUAGGAUUUCCGAGAUCCGCUAAAGGAAACAGUGCUAUCUGGGUAAUAGUGGAUCGUCUUACAAAGUCAGCCCACUUUCUUCCAGUCAAGAUGACAUUUACCAUGGAACAAUAUGCACAGGUUUAUGUUAAAGAAAUAGUCAGGUUACAUGGGGUCCCCGUUUCUAUUAUUUCAGAUAGAGACCCGAGAUUCACGUCAAAAUUUUGGAAAAGUCUACAAAAUGCUAUGGGGACGAAAUUGAAAUUUAGUACUGCAUAUCACCCACAGACUGAUGGACAAUCUGAAAGGACAAUUCAGACACUCGAAGAUAUGUUAAGAGCGUGUGUACUAGAUCUCGGUGGCAGCUGGGAAACACACUUGCCUUUAGUAGAGUUUGCCUAUAACAAUAGUUUUCAAGCAACUAUAGGCAUGGCACCUUAUGAGGCAUUAUAUGGUAGGAAGUGCAGAUCACCUAUCUAUUGGGAUGAGGUUGGAGAAAGAAGAAUCCUAGGACCCGAGAUUGUUGAUCAAACAGUACGAGCUGUGGAUAAGAUUCGAGACAGAAUUAAGGCUGCUCAGGACAGACAGAAAAGCUAUGCUAAUAGAAGGAGAAAAGAUCUUGAAUUCCAAAUCGGUGACAAAGUAUUUUUAAAAGUAGCUCCAAUGAAGGGAGUACUUAGAUUUGGAAAGAAGGGAAAAUUGAGACCAAGAUUCAUUGGACCAUUUGAUGUAUUAGAAAGAAUUGGAGAUGUGGCAUAUAGACUGGCACUGCCACCAGAACUUUCAGCAGUACAUAAUAUUUUUCACGUAUCAAUGUUGCGCAAAUACUUACAGGACCCUAGUCACGUGAUCAACCAUCAAAAUUUAGAUGUACAACAGGAUUUAACCUAUGAAGAAAUGCCACUGAGAAUACUAGAAAGAAAGAUUCAUGUACUAAGAAACAGGGAAAUUCCUUUAAUCAAGGUCUUAUGGCGCAAUCAUGGAGUGGAAGAAGCAACUUGGGAAAAGGAAGAAGAUAUGAAAAUCAAGUAUCCCGAACUUUUCAACUAACUUAAGGUAAAUUUCGAGGACGAAAUUAUUUUAAGGAGGGUAGGUUGUAAAAUCCCGAAUUUUUUUAGCAUUAAUUUAUUUAAUAGGAUUGCAAUGUUCAGUUAAGUCCUUAUACAAGUUAAUUAGUUAUCUCUAUGGUUAAUUUGGAUCUAUGUGAAUAUCUUUAUAGUUGAGGGACCAAAGUGAAAAUAAGUUUCAGAUUUUAUACCUUUAUUAAAUAGGCCAAAUAGUUAAUUAUUGAAGGAGUUAUAAUUACCCUAUCAAUAUUGGGCUCAUUUUAAAGCUCGUAAUAAAUGGCGAAUUAUGGACUCAAGAAAAAUUUAAUUUGGAUUCGUUAAACUUGAGUUAUAGCCAAUUAAGAAAACUACUUAGUUAAUAAUAUUAUUUAUUAAUUCGAGCUAAAUUACUAUAUCAAUAUUGGACUCUUUUGAUAGAUAAUAAUUAAUUAUAUAUAUUAGGAUUAAGAAAAAGAUAUUUUGGAUAAGUUGAAUUAAGAUAGAAUCAAUAGAAGAAACAAGAUAUAAAUGAAAUUCUAAUUAAUAGGCAUACAGAUUUUCGGCCAUUAGGAAACUUGAAUAUGUUGAGUAUUGAUAAUUAUAAAAUGUAAUCAAAAGAUAAUUAAUGAAAAUCAUAACCAUGGUUUUAUGGAAACUAUUACAAGCUUUUUACUUCUUUAAUAGGGAGAUUCUAUUUUCACGUGUGCCUAAGUUUUGAAAUUAUAAUUAAGGGAAUAUCCUUGCUAAUUAAGUAGGUAAAUGUCUAUUUUUAGCUUUUAUUUAUUAUAAUAAUUAUUGGUUACUUGUAAUCAUAAUCUACUUUGAUUAGGAUAAAAACUAUUAUUCUUAAUCACGUAGGAUUUCGAUUAUGAUAGAGUCUUUUAAUAAUUAUCAUAUUGGAAUAGUUAGGACUUUAAUUAAUUAAACUAGUUAAAUUAUUUCAUUUGAAACACUCUUUAAAUUAUUUUGAUUUAAUCAAAGACAAGAGAUAAUUAGUUAUCUAUUGUUUUAUUAGAAUAAUAAAAAUGUAUUAUGCAUGCAAUUAGGAGGUUCCCAGUCCACGUGGGUAAACAUCAUGCAGGAUAAUGCCUAUUUGUCUUUUUCCUUAUUAUAAUUGUAGUUGAUUUUGAACUUAUCUAAACCCAAUAGUUAAUAGUUAUCACUUAUCAGAAUUCUAAUUAAUUAAUCAAAUUUUUAGUAAUUAAUCAAAUUUUUAGAGGAAUUAAAUAUCUUUUCUUUUGUCCAAUUUCGGCCAUUAUGAUAGACUUCAAUUCUUAACAAACUCCAUAUAUUAUUUAUGUAGUCUACUAUUUAAUUAAUUAAGUUUAUGGUUAAUAUUUAAUUAGUAUGCAUAAACUAUUAGUUAUUUUAGACUAAACUUAUCCUAAUGAUCACGUGUGCAAAGGAUAUGCUCCAGUAAUGUCUCCUCAUUAUUAUAGUAGUUGGUUUGGGCACCAAUAUCAAAAGUUAAUCCCCAAGUCAGAUUAUAUCAAACAGGAGGUUAGGAUUUCCAAACCAAAUUUCUGGGAUGUACUUGGACGAAAUUUAGAGUUCUAAUUUCAGUGAAAUUCCACUCCCCACGUGAUUACCCUACACCGUGGUUUAGUAUAAAUAUAGCACUAAGCCUCAAGCAUUCAGUCAUUAAUUCCUCAUUCUUCUUCUACAAGUCUUUAUUCUCUCCUCCUCUUUAAAAAUAUUUCUCCAUAUUAUUAAGGCUUUUUAAGGAUUUGGAAUUUCAAUAAAGAAUCACGUUUUCAGCAAUUUUGUUUUCCACGUUCAUCUUCAAAAGGUGAGAUGCUCAGUGCUAUUAGUGGUUUGUCCACAUCUUUUCAAAUACGUUGUUAUGUAUGGAUUUAAUUACUUCAGUUCAGAGCUCCUUUGGGAGAAAUCAUGAUACAGUUUAAGGCACAAUUUAGCCUUCACGUUAUUUGCAGCGCUUGCUUGAAUUAUCAUUUGUCAUGGUGUGAUAAUUCUCAUGUUAUGUUGGUAAGAGAAUUUAUGCAUAAUUUCACGUUUGAUUUGAAUGUGGAGUAGCAAGCACCUCAUUGAGUAUAAUUCGUUAUACUCAUCCCUCUCUAUUUACAAUUUUCAGGUAGAAAUUAGUAUGCUGGACGGCGGUGGAUGGAUGCAUAUUGGACCAAUGGAUCUCCAUCAUGAAGUACUUUAAUUUUUAGAAACACUAGAAUAUUUAUUAACAGUUGAUUAUUAUUAUUUUUAAAUUUAGACUCAAUUGCGAGUCACGUCAUAACUUUCAAUUAGUCCUAUUUUUAUUAUUUGUUAGAACUACUUUUAUUAAUGUUUGAUAAAAGAUAUGAUUCCAAAUUGUUCC